GGAGAGCGACUGCGAGGGGCAACCCGCCACCGCCCGCGGAAAGCUGCUAAUGAGCCACAGGGACCCAUGGCCUCGGGGGCCUCUGCUGCGGCCACCCUCGAGGCAGGGACAAUAGGCAGCUUAGCUCUGGGCCUUAUCACGGGGAAGAAAAAGGACAAGGCCAGCAAAGAAAGACCCUGUCUGGUUCCCCUGUGCUCAAAUAUCCAGAGCAAGAAAAAUACAAGUGAGAGACUGGUCUGGAUAUGUGGCAACCUGAGCAUCAUCAGUGUAACUCAACUAUGCUAUUCACUGGUCCCUUUGCUUGCUGCUGCACUGCCCCAUUGUGAAAGAAAGGAGGACACUCCAGCCACUCCCUCACAGGGAGCCCAUCCCAACCACAGGAUGGGAAACCUGACGGUGCUGCCAAGCUCUUUUCAUCCUGAGAGAAGGGCUCAAGCAGUCAUGCGGGGGGAAGUGGAAAAUGAGAAGCAGAAGUUCACUCGAUUUCUAAUAUCACAACGUAUCGAGCUUUGUGCGGAAGACUUGGUCAAGGAGUCACGAGGGAACCACAACUCGGAGUAGCCGAGUUUUUAGGUUUGUGGAGCUCCAGCCUCACGGGCAUUUCAUCAGCGAAUGAUAUCCAGGCUGGAUUUCACCUGCGCUUCACCACUCAGCCUGCAGCCUCCUCUCUCCCCCGCUAGAAGGGGCUAAGAACCAGCCACUGCUGAGCAGGAGCGAGGGAGUUUCGUUAUGGGCAGGUUCAAGGCAAAUCCCACCACACGAAACAACUUAGACACUUCUCUGCCUGUGAGGGUCUGCACUAGCCCAAUCCAGAAGGGAUUCAGUGUCCCUACAAAGCAAGAGCUCUCUGCUUGAAAAGCUGGCAUUUUGGUUUCUUGACCCUGUGGUGAGCUGCUCUGGGGAGGAUUUCAGCACUGAAACGCUGUAACGUCGUUGCAUAACUCAGCACAGCACUGCUCACUUGAAACGCUCUUCAUCCUGCAAAUCUCCACUGUCAAACACUGGGGGCAGGAAGGUAAAACAAGGCACCACUUCUUCCAGAUGAAGAUGGAAGGGUUUACAGUUUCAGGAAAGUAAAGAAAAUAGCAAAGGUAUGAUGAUAUAACAGGAGGGAGAAAGAUUUAGACAGGGUGUUUUGCUCAUAGAAGAGGUAGUUUUAUAUUUAAAGAACUAAGAUUAACAAGUUUACAAACUAAUACAAGGCAACACCUUAUUAGAAAAGGUCACACAGCUGCUCCUGGCCAUCCCCAGAGCAGGGUGCUGGCUAGAACAGGCUCCCUCUUCUUAAUCACCCACUCCGAUGGUGAUGUCUGUGAGACCAGCAGUGAACCCCCAGGUACCCACAGUGCUCACACCUCCCACAGAGGGGUGCAAGUUAAACCCACAGCACAUGUAAAUGCAUCACUGAAUUACCUUGGGAAGGCCCAUUAGCAAAUUCACAGCAGGGUCAAAAACAUUUGAUGUAGCUUUCUUCUUGCUCUGCUUUACCAGAACUACAGUGUGAUAUAACUGAGAAGCAAGCAAGCAAACAAACAAAAAUUGCAAUGUUACAAGAAGGCAUCACCCUACUUGCUUUUAAGCCCAGCCUAAGAAACCCAGCAUCUCUCCCAACAACUACAGCUUGCUCCUUUUAAUUCCUCCUUCCCAGCCAGGUGGUUACAGCAGGUACAACAACGUGAGCCAACAAGAUCCACCCUCACACCACCCCUGAAAUGUGCUCCAGUGUUGUGAUGCAAGCAGUGACUGGGGAGACCCCUACCCUGCUGGUCCUGGGAUCCCCUUGGCUCCUGGUUUCUCGUUCCUUUAAAGAGCAGCAGGUAUUUGCUCUUGAUGGAGAAGUGAGGGACUCUUCAGCCUCUGCUCCUCUCCCUGUGGUUAAACCUGGUGACCCUCACCCUCAGAGUAUGUGUCGAUGGAGAGCCUGGGGCUUUACCAGGGACAGGGAGAAAGGCUACAGAUUGCUUCAGACAGUGAUUUUUUUUUGUUUGUUUUGCUCAUUUCACAACUGCUUUUUAAUUGAUUAGCCUGAAAUUUAUCCUUAACACAAAGGUGGCACAAAAAGGAAGGAGGGUUUUUUGGGAGAUGAGGCUAUGUGCCAUUAAAUGGCUAACAAUAAAAGACUUUUUGGUUUUGAGUAGAUAUGCAACAGACAUAAGGACUAUGAGUGGAUUAUCAAGGUUUGGGAAGAGAAUUUAGUGCACUUUUCAUGUUAAUGCUGAUAAGACCUACAUUUGUUUCUUCAAUCUGUAGACUCAUCCAGGAUUUAUUAUUAAUCUGCAGCCAUAAAACAAGAUAGAGAACUUUGCUCUUCUUUUCAAUACACUUUCUACUCUCUUGUUCUUCAUAUAGGAGCGAAUCUUUAGUCUAUUAGAACAGUUGUAAUCUCUGCAAAUUCUUUAAGCAACCCAAAUGUAGGGCUUGGUGUUGAUUUCACUUUUCAUUUAUUAGCAGUAAUGCUGCUUUUUAGUAUCAUAGUCCUGAAACAAUGAACAAUGAGAGAUGCCUGGUCACACAGGUGAUUGUUCAGGGAAUGAGUGCAGGCAUUGCCCACUAUCCACCAUGCAGAGCCAGUUGUUCUAGAGGGGUGCAAUCACACUAAUGGCAAAAACUGGUGUGCUUGAAAGCCUCAAUUCAUUAUGCUGUUUGUCCCAGCACCUAUUGUUUUUGGGAGGAGUUGUUCACAGCAGUUAUUUCUGCUUCUUUACUCAGUGGGAAUACCCUGGUGUAAUUCAGUGCUCUCUGCAGCCUGCUCUCCCGCAGUGGGUGGGAUCUGAGUUUUGAAACAGGCAACCACUGUAGUUUGGUUUUUCUCCACAACAGGUGAAUUCACUCAUUUGAAAAGCAGUCCCUGAACAACAACUGUUUAAACUACAUUAAACAAUAUUUUCUUUUUCAUCAACUCUUCUGGCUUUACAGUUCUUUCUGAGGUUUAGGUGCUUAAGGAAGUUUGUGUUUCAAAAGCACAUUUUCAUUCCUGCACUGCUCAAUCUCUGGGGCAUGACUUAGCUAGAUGAUUUUGAUGGUGGAUGUAUUUAAGUAGGGAAGUUACAGAACUGUAUAUAUAAAGGAGGUAAUUUGGGGCUGCCUGUAUGAAUCAAAUGUCCUGAUACAUAAAAUAGGAAGCACCAUUAACACGUUGUGGGAUAUGGGGUUAUGGACAGCAGCACUGCAGCUGAGCCAGCCAAUGGGUGCCCUUCUUCUGUUAAGUUUUGGUUAUGUUUAAUUGAGACUACAGGUAUAAAAGGGGAGUGAUUUCUACAAUAAAGAGAUUUCCUUCACAUGCAUAAGAGGGUUCAUGUCUCUUUGUUCCCCAUUGCUACAACACGUGUUUUCUUCACCUGCAUGCCUUGAGCCAUGGUGAUGACCUUCUGUGCUCAAAUGCAACAAGAUCUGCCAGCUAGGCCAAUGCAGCAGCGAGGGGAGGAUGAUGCAAUCAAGAGGCUGAACAAUUAUUUUUGGAAACUUACUGUUUACCGAUCAAUACAGCAGUUAAGGUGACAACAUACCUGUUGCAAGAGCUUUGGAAACUGUACUGGGCUCCCUUUCAGGUACUACCUGAGAGGGCAUGUUAUGAAACACCAAAUGGUUCUUUUUAUAGUGCAGGGACAUGUGUUUGGCAUGUGGGGAAACAAGACUCAGAUCAUUCCCUUUCCCCAGCUUCUGGUAGAGUCAGCAGCCUCUAGGAUUCUCCUCAUCCCCCUGUGUGGUGACCCAGCACAGGCCCCAUGGACAUGUCCAGAUAUGUUCUUUUUGACUUGCAGUUGUACUGUGCUGCUUCUUUGCCCCUCACCACCCACCUUAUGGCCCUGGUGAGAACAAAAGUGGGAAGUAAAUUGAGCCAUACAAUUUGUAUUCCUGUCUGCAUUUUUGUCUAGACCACAUAAAGGAUGGUUUUGAAAAAGAUUAAUUUGCUAAAGUUAAUUGGCAUUAGGAGAGGGAAGGUAUGAAUAACAGCUUUAUUUCCAAGCAUCUAAAAUAACUAUACAAAAAAAAAAAAAAAAAAAAAAGGCAAAUUAAUCAGCAAAGUGUCCUCGCUGCAGCCAAGCUGCACACACACAUGGAGAGGGGUUGUUACAGGCAGCUGAGCCUGCAAACCCUGCAUAGCAACCAGAAUUAUGUGAAGUAUUAGGGCAAAAUUAAAGAAAAAACACAAAAGAAGAGACAGAAGAAGGCAGAUAAUAGCAGGAUGUAGAUGCAGAGGGUCAGAAAUCAGCCAGGUGAGGGAGUGAAGUUCACCCAGACACAUUUGUGUGUACCUGCCACCAACUCCCACAGCCCUGGUGUGCUUUGCCACAGUGACAAACAGGACAUGGGCAGAGGGCUGCAGAAGAAGCCGACAGCCCUGCUUGCUCCUUUGCACAGCCCUGUGCUCCACAGGAGUGAAGAGCAGUGGGUAGAGCAGGUUUUACCACUGAUACAGACUCCUGGAAGACCAGCAGCCAGAGGAGGUGUUUUGGCACAUCUGGCAGAUGAGCUGGACGCAGGGACUCUGGCUCUUGGGAUGCCUCAGAUCUGUGUCCCUCUCAGGGCUUUGCAGGAAAAUUGCAGAGCUUUUCAGCUGUUUCAGGCUGGAGAUAAUUCCACAACACACGAGCUUGUUUUUCUUAGUCAUCUUUCAUUUUCUUAGUCAUUUUCAGCUAGUCUACACUCUGGAUUUAAAAUUGCUUGUGUACAGUCUGGGUGCAGAGCUGAGCAGGAAUGGAUUGCUCCCAGCUGGUGUCUGUGUGGGAAGGAGACUGCUGAAUUCCCAAGAGAUGUUUGGGACAAGAGUACUGCCAGCAGUUCCCCAGCAUCAAGUGAUUUGAGAUGGGAUAGAGGCAUGGACCAGAACUGGCAGACCUGGGUGCUGUGACUGUGGCUGAAGCACAGGGUGAAGUCAAAGAGUUCUUCCAGAAAAAAUAGCUCAGGGAUGUGGAUGCUGCACCUGACACUUAUUUGGGGCAGAGGGGAG